UCCCUGGUGGUUCAGACAGUAAAGAAUCUGCCUGCAAUGCAGAAGACCUGGGUUCGAUCCUUGGCUUGGGAA
rnacentral:tRNA from 1 species